UACGUAGGGUGCGAGCGUUGUCCGGAAUUAUUGGGCGUAAAGAGCUUGUAGGCGGUUUGUCGCGUCUGCUGUGAAAAUCCGGGGCUCAACCCCGGACUUGCAGUGGGUACGGGCAGACUAGAGUGUGGUAGGGGAGACUGGAAUUCCUGGUGUAGCGGUGAAAUGCGCAGAUAUCAGGAGGAACACCGGUGGCGAAGGCGGGUCUCUGGGCCAUUACUGACGCUGAGGAGCGAAAGCGUGGGGAGCGAACAGG
rnacentral:rRNA from 1 species